ensembl:lncRNA
GCCAGCGCAAGGUUAAAGAAAGCCCCCCUGCAAACUUUCUUUUCGGACUGACCUCAGGUCAGUGUGAGGUUAUCAUUUAUUUUCUCUCUUUUAUGCCUUUUCUUUGGUGAUGUAACGUAAAAAAUGUAGAUGUGUGUCCACAAUCAAAUAUUUAACCAAACAAAUAUGACCAAUUGAUUAUAAGACGAUGAAUAAACGCAUAAAAUGAGGAAGCAACAGAGUUAGAGUCAACAACCACAAUACAGAAAGUGAAAGUGACAUUCCGUUCUGGAGAUGGAUGCAAGCAUGACUUCUCAGUAUGUUUUUCACCUAAUACUUGCUAGACUGAUGGACUAAACCAGUAGAAGGAAGUGUGAUCUACAGCACACGACAGAUUCAGAGAAUGUGAGGACAUUAAUCCUGGAAGCUGAUGAAGUAAUCCUGCUGUACACUGAAAUCUGAGUAUCUUUUAACAUUCAGUACUACUCAGUAUUGUGUGUAAGAGAUGUGUUGAAAUAAGGAUUUGGCAAAAACAGUUGGACACACAAGAGCACUAGUUUAAAUAUGGACCAAAAUAAAUUGAACAAAUCAGGAAGUGAGAUUAUCAGUUUAAAUGUUUUGACUCACGAGUCACUUUGACUUGGUGCAGCUUUUCCAAACCGAUUAUCUUUAUAUUGAAUACUGUCAUGAUCCAAAGCAAACCUUAAAGACACUGUUCACCCCAGAAUCAAUGAUG